rnacentral:lncRNA from 1 species
CGGCGAGUGUCUGGGCGAGCGUGGCUGGGCCCGGUCCUGGGCUGGGGGCAGGGGCUAGGGCCGGGUCCCGGGACAUGGCCGCUUACCAACAAGAAGGGCAGAUGCAGCUUCCCCGAGCUGAUGCCAUUCGUUCACGUCUCAUCGAUACUUUCUCUCUCAUCGAGCAUUUGCAAGGCUUGAGCCAAGCUGUGCUGCGACACACUAUCAGGAGUUACUUGAUCCUUCCCGCCAGAAGAAACUUAUGUUGGGAGAUCAACACCAGCUAGUGGGCGUCUCUAUAAAGCCUCAACGUAUAGAACAGAUUUCACAUGCCCAGAGGCUGUUGAGCAGGCUUCAUGUGCGCUGCAGUCAGAGGCCACCUCUUUCUUUGUGGGCCGGAUGGGUCCUUGAGUAAUUGCUGGAAUCCACAAAUACCAAACUAUGGCCAUUGAAGCUGACCUUGGAGGGGGCAGCUUGGUUUAUCUUGCUUAUUUUCAUCCUGGAGAUCCUUCUUAAGUGGCUAUCCAACUUUUCUGUUUUCUGGAAGAGUGCCUGGAAUGUCUUUGACUUUGUUGUUACCAUGUUGGUAAGGAUAGAGAUCCUGAGGGUUCGUUUAGUGGGAUG